rnacentral:rRNA from 1 species
UACGGAGGGUGCAAGCGUUAUCCGGAUUCACUGGGUUUAAAGGGUGCGUAGGUGGCGAGGUAAGUCGGAUGUGAAAGCUCGGAGCUCAACUCCGAAAUGGCAUUGGAAACUACCUUGCUUGAGGGUUGGAAGGGGGACUGGAAUUCUCGGUGUAGCAGUGAAAUGCGUAGAUAUCGAGAGGAACACCAGUGGCGAAGGCGAGUCCCUGGACAAUACCUGACACUGAGGCACGAAAGCUAGGGGAGCAAACAGG